rnacentral:tRNA from 1 species
CAAGUUACAUUCAUAGGAAUAUUAUUAUUUACAUUAAUAAAAGAAUUGUGCAAUUCAAUUUAGCUUGA